UACAGAGGGUGCAAGCGUUGUUCGGAAUUAUUGGGCGUAAAGCGCGUGUAGGCGGCCCUGCAAGUCGGGUGUGAAAUCCCAUGGCUCAACCAUGGAAGUGCACUCGAAACUGCAGGGCUAGAGUCCUGGAGAGGAAGGUGGAAUGCUUGGUGUAGAGGUGAAAUUCGUAGAUAUCAAGCGGAACACCGGUGGCGAAGGCGGCCUUCUGGACAGUGACUGACGCUGAGACGCGAAAGCGUGGGGAGCAAACAGGG
rnacentral:rRNA from 1 species